AUUGAACGCUGGCGGCAGGCCUAACACAUGCCAGUCGAGCGGAUGAAGGGAGCUUGCUCCUGGAUUCAGCGGCGGACGGGUGAGUAAUGCCUAGGAAUCUGCCUGGUAGUGGGGGAUAACGUCCGGAAACGGGCGCUAAUACCGCAUACGUCCUGAGGGAGAAAGUGGGGGAUCUUCGGACCUCACGCUAUCAGAUGAGCCUAGGUCGGAUUAGCCAGUUGGUGGGGUAAAGGCCUACCAAGGCGACGAUCCGUAACUGGUCUGAGAGGAUGAUCAGUCACACUGGAACUGAGACACGGUCCAGACUCCUACGGGAGGCAGCAGUGGGGAAUAUUGGACAAUGGGCGAAAGCCUGAUCCAGCCAUGCCGCGUGUGUGAAGAAGGUCUUCGGAUUGUAAAGCACUUUAAGUUGGGAGGAAGGGCAGUAAGUUAAUACCUUGCUGUUUUGACGUUACCAACAGAAUAAGCACCGGCUAACUUCGUG
rnacentral:rRNA from 1 species